GCACAAGCGGUGGAUGAUGUGGAUUAAUUCGAUGCAACGCGAAAAACCUUACCUACCCUUGACAUGUCAGGAAGUCUGCUGAGAGGUGGAUGUGCCCGAAAGGGGAACCUGAACACAGGUGCUGCAUGGCUGUCGUCAGCUCGUGUCGUGAGAUGUUGGGUUAAGUCCCGCAACGAGCGCAACCCUUGUCAUUAAUUGCCAUCAUUCAGUUGGGCACUUUAAUGAGACUGCCGGUGACAAACCGGAGGAAGGUGGGGAUGACGUCAAGUCCUCAUGGCCCUUAUGGGUAGGGCUUCACACGUCAUACAAUGGUCGGUACAGAGUGUCGCCAACCCGCGAGGGGGAGCCAAUCCCACAAAGCCGAUCGUAGUCCGGAUCGCAGUCUGCAACUCGACUGCGUGAAGUCGGAAUCGCUAGUAAUCGUGGAUCAGCAUGUCACGGUGAAUACGUUCCCGGGUCUUGUACACACC
rnacentral:rRNA from 1 species